rnacentral:lncRNA from 1 species
UAAAGGACAAGUGGAUUCAAUUGACCAUGAGAGAUACAAAAGGAGUUCCUAUUAUCAUCAUUUUGGGAGGUUAAGCCUUUUCUAAACCCCAGAGCUCAUAAGCAAUGGAGCUGAGACUGUAACCCUGACCUACCUACCUUCAAAGACCAUACUGUUUCCACUAAGUCAAACUACCUUAAAAAUACUUAUUCCUUUUGGCUCAGUAAGUCACCUUUUGGGAAUCUACAUGGAAUCUGAAAUGUACGAGAUAAGCCUGGGACAUUUUGAGAUGCAAGAAAGCAAGAAGCUACUAAGGACUAAAUAGGUCACGUCAAAAGGAAGCAAACGAAAAAGAUCCCAAAAUGACACAAUGCAGCUACCCAAAAGAAUAAUAAUCACUCUCCGUUAAAUCAUUAAACAUAAAAAUCAAUGAGUUCAUAAUGAUACUUUUUUAAAACUUGCUUAUGAGAGCACCAACUCAUUACUCUGAAAAUUGAUAAAUACAUAGAAAGAAUCAAGAAUUUAUCCUUUCUUGUACAAAUUGUAAUUCAGGGCAGCCAAAUACUUGAUGAGGAUAAGUCUUUAUCGAAGAAUUAUGGAUAACUAAUGCAGAAGGAAGGACAGAUUAAGAAAAUUGCCAUUUCAAUCCCUCAUGAAACCCUGGAUCUGUCAAUGGUCGUCAGUGAAUGUUAAAAUCACAGGUGAAAUACUUGUGGGAGACUUUUAGAGGAUGGAGCAUCCUGACAUCACCAAGACUGAUUCCUGGCAUUACCAAAAGUGGAGCAAACAGAUGUCAUGAGUUCAUGGUAUGAUUCCACAGGAAGUACAUAGCAUCAGAAAUAUUAUAAUCUAAAAAGCAUUUUAACCUUAAUUGAUUUAAGGCUCAGAUCUAACUAUCAGUUUAUAGGAAAUAGAAAAAAACAGAGGAACAAGUUAAAAACAUCACAGAGAAACAAUUAUGCAAAUCUAGAUGUAGAUCUAAAGGAUAAUCUGAUUUUUCUAACAAAUUCAAUGGCAUGAAAACAAUUGAGGAGUGAGAAGGAGGGACAAUGUAGACUGAAAUAGCUAAGAGAAAUUAUUAUUAAUAUUAUUCGAAUAGGCCAACCGUAAAAGAACAACUUUCAGACAAUUAAAGACAUUUGAAUAUGAAUUGAUAUUAGAAUAUUUUUGAUAUUUGUGUUAUUUGUUUGGUAUGAUAAUACCUAGGUGGUUUUUUUUUUAAAGUCGGGCUGCUUAAAUGUAUAUAAAGAACUUACAAAGAAAAUAAUAUGAUAUCUAGUAUUUGCUUCAAAUAUUCCAGGAAAAAAAAGUGUGUGUGUGUGUGUGUGUGUGUGUGUGUGUGUGUGUCUGUGUGUUUGUAUGUGGUGGGAGGGAGAGAGGAGACGGAGAUGAUUAGAUGAAACAGGAGUUGCAAAUUGUUGACAGCUGCUGAAGCUGAGAGAUGAGUCCAUGAAGGUUCAUUAUCCUAUUCUCUCUACUUUCUGUAUGUUUGGAACAUUCCAUAAUAAAAUUUAAAAAAACCCUAAAAAAUGAUGCAUAUGAGUACAUCAAAACCUAUAGAAAUGAAAUUCCAUAUAUGCCAGGACUAGAAAGAUAUGGAAUAAAUAACUGUAAAAAAAAUGUGAGAAAAUCCUACUCCAUAUGUUAUAUGCUGAUUUCUGAUUUGCAUUUUAAAUGGAAUCGCUCCAAUAUUAUCUGAUUAGUUUUGAAAUUGAUGAUUAAAAUAAAAGAUUGAUCAUCUUCUACAUUUUUUGGCACCUUACACCAUCACCAAUUUAAGUAUUAAUAGAAGGAGCAUCAAAACUAUCAAUCUAAGAAAUUCAGAAUGAAGAGGUCUGUGAUAUGCUCAGUGAACAUGUCUUUGUUGUGGCAAUGAAAUAAUUUGGAGAUGGAAAGAGAACAUAAAUUCUGCAGAACAAUUUUCUGUGCUCCUCUUUAAACAGGUUAAGGUGCUGAUUUGGUUUUUCGAAAACUGAAGCUGUGGAUCACAAAACAAAGCAAAAUUAAUUGUGAGUAAAUGGAAGAAAAGAUCACUUGUAAUGACACUUCUUUCCAGGGAUAUGGUUAAGCAAGAUAAUAGCAUUCAGAGGGUAAAAAUAAGUCCAUUCACUAAUGCCCACACACAUUCCAUAUAAUGACAGAUGGAGACCUAAUUUUAAAAACAUACUACAUUGUAAAAAU